rnacentral:rRNA from 1 species
CAGUAGCCGCGGUAAUACCGAGGGUGCGAGCGUUAAUCGGAUUUACUGGGCGUAAAGCGUGCGUAGGCGGCUUUUUAAGUCGGAUGUGAAAUCCCUGAGCUUAACUUAGGAAUUGCAUUCGAUACUGGGAAGCUAGAGUAUGGGAGAGGAUGGUAGAAUUCCAGGUGUAGCGGUGAAAUGCGUAGAGAUCUGGAGGAAUACCGAUGGCGAAGGCAGCCAUCUGGCCUAAUACUGACGCUGAGGUACGAAAGCAUGGGGAGCAAACAGGAUUAGAUAACCCGGUAGUCCCUGUCUCUUAUAA